GAAAAAUCAAAGGGGAAUAAUGGAGGAACAGCCUUCUUUCUCAAUGCGUGAAGAAUUUCUUACAAUUGAAACACUGUUGGUGCACGAGGAGCGUGAUUGCCUUUCCUAAUUUUCCAAGGAAAUGAUACAUUCAGUGAUUGAUUCUCCUUGCAAAAUGAUUGAGACAUAUCACUCAUGAUACUUUAUUUCAGCAAGAAAUUAUGUGAUAAAGUAAGACCCACGUUAUUGCCAGAGACUGAGAAUGUGAUGAUAGGAUGCAGCAAUCAAGAAACAACUGUGGCUGAGGUAAAAUCUACCCCUUCUUGUCCUCCAAGCAUCCAUCACAAAAGAAAAAAGAGCAAUUCCUUUUGGAUUUAAGUCUUCAAUCGGUUACUGACAAUUUGAUACCUUAAAACAUUUCCUCGUAAGCUCCUCAUUGUUAUUUAAUGGAUAAAUUUUAAUAAUUGUAUUUGAAUUUAUAUGAUUAUAAUAUAA
rnacentral:misc_RNA from 1 species